UGGAGAGUUUGAUCCUGGCUCAGGAUGAACGCUGGCGGCGUGCUUAACACAUGCAAGUCGAACGGUGAACACGGAGCUUGCUCUGUGGGAUCAGUGGCGAACGGGUGAGUAACACGUGAGCAACCUGCCCCUGACUCUGGGAUAAGCGCUGGAAACGGCGUCUAAUACUGGAUACGAGUAGCGACCGCAUGGUCAGUUACUGGAAAGAUUUAUUGGUUGGGGAUGGGCUCGCGGCCUAUCAGCUUGUUGGUGAGGUAAUGGCUCACCAAGGCGUCGACGGGUAGCCGGCCUGAGAGGGUGACCGGCCACACUGGGACUGAGACACGGCCCAGACUCCUACGGGAGGCAGCAGUGGGGAAUAUUGCACAAUGGGCGCAAGCCUGAUGCAGCAACGCCGCGUGAGGGAUGACGGCCUUCGGGUUGUAAACCUCUUUUAGCAGGGAAGAAGCGAAAGUGACGGUACCUGCAGAAAAAGCGCCGGCUAACUACGUGCCAGCAGCCGCGGUA
rnacentral:rRNA from 1 species